UACGUAGGGGGCGAGCGUUGUCCGGAUUCAUUGGGCGUAAAGCGCUUUAAGGCGGUUCCCUAAGUCGGGUGUGAAACCUCCAGGCUCAACCUGGAGACGCCACUCGAUACUGGCGUGACUAGAGUUCGGUAGGGGACCACGGAAUUCCUGGUGUAGCGGUGAAAUGCGCAGAUAUCAGGAGGAACACCAGUGGCGAAGGCGGUGGUCUGGGCCGAUACUGACGCUGUAGAGCGAAAGCGUGGGGAGCGAACAGG
rnacentral:rRNA from 1 species